GCCGCCGUAGCUCAGCCCGGGAGAGCACCCGGCUGAAGACUUCGGUAUAGAGACCGGGUUGUCCGGGGUUCAAGUCCCCGCGGCGGCA
rnacentral:tRNA from 2 species